rnacentral:rRNA from 1 species
GACGAACGCUGGCGGCGUGCUUAACACAUGCAAGUCGAACGGAAAGGCCCUGCUUUUGUGGGGUGCUCGAGUGGCGAACGGGUGAGUAACACGUGAGUAACCUGCCCUUGACUUUGGGAUAACUUCAGGAAACUGGGGCUAAUACCGGAUAGGAGCUCCUGCUGCAUGGUGGGGGUUGGAAAGUUUCGGCGGUUGGGGAUGGACUCGCGGCUUAUCAGCUUGUUGGUGGGGUAGUGGCUUACCAAGGCUUUGACGGGUAGCCGGCCUGAGAGGGGGACCGGCCACAUUGGGAUGGAGAUACGGCCCAGACUCCUACGGGAGGCAGCAGUGGGGAAUAUUGCACAAUGGGCGGAAGCCUGAUGCAGCAACGCCGCGUGCGGGAUGACGGCCUUCGGGUUGUAAACCGCUUUCGCCUGUGACGAAGCGUGAGUGACGGUAAUGGGUAAAGAAGCACCGGCUAACUACGUG